UGAGGAAUAUUGGUCAAUGGGCGAGAGCCUGAACCAGCCAAGUCGCGUGAAGGAAGACUGCCUUAUGGGUUGUAAACUUCUUUUAUACAGGAAUAAAAAGGCUUACGUGUAGGCCAUUGCAAGUACUGUAUGAAUAAGCAUCGGCUAACUCCGUGCCAGCAGCCGCGGUAAUACGGAGGAUGCGAGCGUUAUCCGGAUUUAUUGGGUUUAAAGGGUGCGCAGGCGGGCUUUUAAGUCAGCGGUGAAAUCUGGACGCUUAACGUCCAAACUGCCGUUGAAACUGGGAGUCUUGAGUAUGGAUGAAGUAGGCGGAAUUCGUUGUGUAGCGGUGACAUGCAUAGAUAUAACGAGGAACUCCGAUUGCGUAGGCAGCUUACUAAGCCAUAACUGACGCUCAUGCACGAAAGCGUGGGGAUCAAACAGGAUUAGAUACCCUGGUAGUCCACGCCGUAAAACGAUGAUUACUAGUUGUAUGCGAUAUGAUAGUAUGUGACUAAGCGAAAGCGAUAAGUAAUCCACCUGGGGAGUACGCCGGCAACGGUGAAACUUAAAUGAAUUGACGGGGUCAUAGCUGUUUCCUG
rnacentral:rRNA from 1 species